ACACAAAUAACCAGUACGAGCACAAGUCCACGACUUGACUCAGGGUAAGUUUCACAUAACUCACGCCAUGUUUUCACAUAAGAAACUAAUGGAUCAGCACACCACUAGCAAAGCACUAAGUCCAAACAAGAUACAUGUCAUCACUUAAAUAUCCAUAUUAUCCAAAGUAUCCACAUCAAUGUUUCAUCUAAAACACUUGCCAAU
rnacentral:lncRNA from 1 species